UACGUAGGCAGCAAGCGUUGUUCGGAGUUACUGGGCGUAAAGGGUGUGUAGGCGGUUUUUUAAGUUUGGUGUGAAAUCUCCCGGCUCAACUGGGAGGGUGCGCCGAAUACUGAAAGACUAGAGUGCGGGAGAGGAAAGUGGAAUUCCUGGUGUAGCGGUGAAAUGCGUAGAUACCAGGAGGAACACCGGUGGUGUAGACGGCUUUCUGGACCGUAACUGACGCUGAGACACGAAAGCGUGGGUAGCAAACAGG
rnacentral:rRNA from 1 species